AUACGGAGGGUGCAAGCGUUGUCCGGAAUCACUGGGUGUAAAGGGUGUGUAGGCGGGAUUGUAAGUCAGAGGUGAAAUCCUACAGCUCAACUGUAGAACUGCCUUUGAUACUGCAAUUCUUGAGUUUCGGAGAGGUCAUUAGAAUUCGUGGUGUAGCGGUGAAAUGCGUAGAUAUCACGAGGAAUACCAGAGGCGUAGGCGGAUGACUGGACGAAUACUGACGCUGAGGCACGAAAGCGUGGGGAGCAAACAGGAUUAGAAACCCCGGUAGUCC
rnacentral:rRNA from 1 species